UUAUCAAAUAACUUAUAAUUUAUAGCAUAACAUAUAAUUAACUAUAAAUAGUUUAACUAGAUAACGAUGAAUUUAUCAAAUAAGUUAUAAUGUAUAGCAGUGACAUAUGAUUUACAUAGCUAAUCAAAUAAAUAACCACAAAUGUUAUAUAUUAUCACCUAUUUAUAUUGAUAACCUAUUCAAAGCUGGGAGAAGGACCAUCGUGACGUCACCGUGACGGAUCCCAAGCCGAUGCAUUCCGGCGGCGAUCCUUCUUGAAUAGGUUUGUACAUCGGCUUAGGUUAUGAUACGUCCGGUAAAACCGUCGAUGAGACAAAUGGAGGUGAAAUCACCAUCUUCGUCGUUGAAAUUUUUUUGAAGACGUAAUCGGUUAGAGGAAGGUGGUCAAGGAUGAAGAUAUCAUGGAGCUUAGAACGGAAAAUGAAAACAUGAGAAGGUUCUUCUUCUUCUUCUUAUUCUACUUCUUGAUCUGUCUUGUUAGUGAGAAAAUGCGUUUGUUGUUGGAUCAUCAUUUGUGUGGAGAAGGUUCUUCUUUUUGCUUUAUUUGUGAGAAAGUUUCUUUACAAAAAAAUAUGUAACGGGGAUUGAUGGAGAGAGAGAGAAGUGGAUUGUGGAGAGAGAGAAGGGAAGCGAGUGGUGGUGUGUAAAGUUUUGGUGGAUAACCUAUUUUUUUAGGUGGGAGAUAGGGUUAGAAUGGUCAGGAAAAAUGAUAGAUAAAUAACAAAACAUAGAUGACAUUUACUUAAUAAAACAGUCAGCUGAGCCCAUGAGUUACAAUUACCCUAGAAGUUUUGAUAUUUUGCAAUACAAGAGAGAAGAUACAACUUUUAUAAUUUUUGGAUAAAAAUACCCUUAUUAUUUGGAUGGGAUACUGAGUUUUUUCGUAAGCAUCACAUGCAUCAAAUAAAUACAGAGAAGUGGGUGUGACUACACUCCUAAUAUAAAUGCAUGACAUGAGUACGAGACAACGUCACAUUAUUUUUUCUUGUAACAUUGUUCUCAUAAUAUAUAACGUGAUAUGCAAAAUUAUAACAAGAUUUAUUUACAUAUAUCAUGAUGCAUAACUAUAUAUCAUAGAACGUUAUAUUAUAUUAUUGUGAGUAUUUACAAGUCUGACCUUAGAUGAUAUAAAAAUGAAUUAUUUGCAUAUACACAUACUUUGUGACAAAGUAUUCACCUUCACACUCACUUUCUACUACCUCUAUACUUUAUGUUAAGAAAAUGACUAUUCUAUCCUUUAUCAUCUUUUCUCUCUCUUUAAUUCUACUUUAUCAAAACAACAAAUUUUAUAGAGUUAUUUACACCUACACCUACUUUGUGGACAUAAGUUUGCCAAAAAACAUACUUUCAGCUAUAGGUGUACUUUCUGUCUAACUCUCAUAUUAUUGACAAUAGGACUUACACCCACUUUUGUGGAGAUUGUUAGCGCUUACACCCACUUUUUACUUGUGCUAUACUUUUGUUCACUGUUUACAAAGAGCGUGAAACUUGUUAUGACGUUUUUACCCCCAACUUAGUUAUGUAGUGUAGAUAGCUGAACGAAGAGAUGAUGAGGAGAUCCGGUGGCUAAAAUUAAAUUCUCUCAUCCUCUCUUUCUUUCUCUCCCCUAAGCUUUAGUCCUCUUUUUUCUUUUUGUUUUUUUUGUUAUUGUUAUUUUGGGUGGUUAUUAUUAAAAAUUUAUAUAUUUAUUUAUAUAUAAUAAGUUAUGAUUUUAUUUUCUUUAUAUUUUAAGAUGCAUAUUGAUAUAUUUUAUAUGAUUUAUUAUCUUAUAUACUAUCCAUCUGUAUAUGAACAUUUAUUCAUUGAUAAGUGGAUGCUCAAUUACAAUAUUGUUAAUAGAUAUUUACUUGUGCUUAGUCAUAUUGAAAACCUAUUUCAUCAAAUAAAUUGUGGUUUGUAAAUAAUAUAUACACUAAUCUGAAACAAAAAAUUAUUCAUGGUCAUUAAGUUUUAUAAAUGUUCAAAACAAUCUUAUCUAUUAUACGGUAUCCACAAACAUUUAAACUAAAACGACAAAAUUUUGUGAAUACAAUAAUUUGUUCAUCAACAUCAAUAAUGAAAUUAAUUUGUCUUCUUCCACUACAUACUCUAGUUUCUUACAACAUGAAGUUCAUUACUCUUACUAACUCAAUAGCUUCAUGUGGAUACCCAAAUCAUCUGGUUAAAAGUAAACAGAGCAAUUGCAUAGCAAAACCUUGAGUUUAAUGGAUUUUUCUUUUUCUUUCAUUGUUAAUUAGUCAUCAUUCACAAAAUCACGUUCACAUAGAUACCCGAGUCAUCUGGUUAAGAGUAAACAAAGCAAUUGCAUUGUAAAACCUUAGUUAUUUGUUUGUUAGGUUCACUUGCAUUUACUUUUGAGAUAUGGAGCUGACCAUGAAUCAGACCCUUGUCCCCUUCUUCUUGUUAGUAGGAGAUUAUGCUAUGGUAUUAUACUAUUAUUUAGCUCAAUUUGGAAAAAUUUAUGGAGACAUUUGCAGAGUUUGAUAAUACGUUUCAACGUCAUUUCAACAAUGACAAUUACAGUUUGCUGAUACGUUUAGAGAUUUGAACAACAUCGAAGAGCAAGAAACAAGGAAGCGUAAUUAGUGACUAAAUAAAACGACGAUUGGGUACGGCGUCGGCUACAACCGAUCUAGAAAACAUAAAUAAGAGACACUAGAUAUAUGAUUCUCGUGGGGUAAAGAGGAGGAUUUGGUUUUGCUAGAGUUUGAGCAGGCGGAUGAGGUAGGUUUACGUGACGGAAAGAGAGGAUUUGGUUGGCUAGAUUCUAGCGGUGGCAGAAGAACGGUUUACACGGUGGAUCUAAUAAGAUCCUCGCUGGUGGAGGAGGGAGAAUUGGUUGGGUAGGAUUUUCUCAUUUCCUCGAUUGUGGAGGAGGGAGACUAAUUAGUUGGGUAGGAUUUUCUCAGUUUUGAAGAGGAAUUAGGGAUUCAAGAGUUAAAGUUUGGGAAAAAUGGGAUUAUUUUUUUUAUUUUUUUAUACUUUUACUGAAAAUUGGUUUUAGAAUAACGAAAGGAAGGGAAAGAGUUGGAGAUAGUAAAGGAGAGAAUAGUCAUUUCCUUAACAAAAAGUAUAGAGGUAGUAGAAAGUGGGUGUGAUGGUGAAUACUUUAUGGUAAAGUAGGUGUAUAUGCUAAUAUCUCAUGAAACAUAGAGAAGCUGAGUUUGUUUGUUUUUUUUAAUCGGUUUUUCCAAGCUUUCUCUCUCUCCUUCUCUCUCACUUUUUUUAUUGUUGUCAUUUUAAGUUGUUAUAAUAAAACGUUAUCUAAUUAUUUUUAUACAAUAUGUUGUGAUUGUCUUUUUUCUUGACAUUUCAAGAUGCAUAUUGCUAUAUUUUCGAUGUAUUAUUAUAUUAUACACUAUCCAUACGAAGGUGCACAUAUGUUCGAUGAAAAGUGGAUGAUCAAUUGCAGUAUCAUUUAUGUUUAAUCUAUUUUAUUUAUAAUUACUUAUUUGUGUUUAGUCAUAUAAGAACAUAUUAAAACCUAUUUCAUGAAAGAAUUUAUGGUUUGGUAAAAAGUCAUAAAUAAGUAUCAAACAAACAUCUUAACCCCAAAACCUAAAAAUGUAUACCCUAACCUCUAAACUCUAAACAUAAAGAGAAAACAGUGGAAUAUGCACAUUAAGCUAACAAAAACUCUAAACAUAAACCAUAAAACUCAAACAUUAACCUGUAUCAAAAUUAAUUUAACUCUAAAACUAAAACCAUAAAUCAUACAUUACAUUCUAACAUCCAAACAUUUUAAUGAACAUCCAAGAAUAUCCACAAUACUGUAACCACAUGGAUAUAUAUGGUCAAUGUGUCUAGGUGAAAAGCAAAAACAAUGGAAUAUGCAAAUCAAGCUAACAAAAAAAUAUUGGAAGAUGAAAACAAACCUAGAGUGAAAGUAAAUAAAUUAUUGAAAAAGUUAUAAGGAGAGGCAUCGUCGAAGUAUGAACUUGCUUUACAAUUGCUAAAACAUAUACACACCAUGUCUAAUCACUAAAUCAUAAACCCUAAACACUAAAAUCUAAACCCUAAAACCAAUACAAUAACACUUAACCCUAAAAUCUAAGCCCUAAAAUGAAAACCCUAAAAUCUUUGCAUAUACACCUACUUUGUGACAAAGUAUUCACCUUCACACCCACUUUUUACUACCUCUAUACUUUAUGUUAAGAAAAUGACUAUUCUAUCCUUUUCAUCUUUUCUCUCUCUUUAAUUCUACUUUAUCAAAACAACAAAAUAAUUUUUUUUUCUUAUAUCUAUCAUUUUUUUCUCUCUCUUUAUCAAACUCACCAUUUUUCUUCUCCAUCAUCUUCGUCAGCUCCAAAUCUCAAAAAUAAAUGCGAGUGAACCUCACAACAUAUAUCUAAGUUUUUGCUAUAUGCAAUUGCUAUGUUUACUAUCAACUAGAUGAUUUGGGUAUCCAUAUGGACAUGAUUGUAUGGAUGAUAACUAACUAACAAUUCAAGAUCAACACAUAAAUAACAAAGUAUAUCUUUGUGGAAUGACAAUUCAAGUUCAAUAAAAAACCACUGUUUAGGAUUUUGGUUCAUGGUUUUAUGGUAUCUUUGUGGAAUGAGUCCAUUAUUCACACAUGUGACCCAUUGGUAAUGAUUAGUUUUAUACAAUAUAGAGUUUCGUGUUUAGGAUUUAGGAUUUUUGGUUUCGAGUUUUGGGUUUGGGAUUUAUGGUUACAAAUUUUUGAAAUCCAUGUGGAUAAAUUCGGUUAUUCUUUAAAGUCUUUAGUGUGAAGGAUUUAUAGUUCAAGGUUUCGUAUUUAGGGUUUUCAUUUUAGGGCUUAGAUUUUAGGGUUAAGUGUUACUGUAUUGGUUUUAGGGUUUAGAUUUUAGUAUUUAGGGUUUAUGAUUUAGUGAUUAGACAUGGUGUGUAUAUGUUUUAGCAAUUGUAAAGCAAGUUCAUACUUCGACGAUGCCUCUCCUUAUAACUUUUUCAAUAAUUUAUUUACUUUCACUCUAGGUUUGUUUUCAUCUUCCAAUAUUUUUUUGUUAGCUUGAUUUGCAUAUUCCAUUGUUUUCGCUUUUCACCUAGACACAUUGACCAUAUAUAUCCAUGUGGUUACAGUAUUGUGGAUAUUCUUGGAUGUUCAUUAAAAUGUUUGGAUGUUAGAAUGUAAUGUAUGAUUUAUGGUUUUAGUUUUAGAGUUAAAUUAAUUUUGAUAUGGGUUAAUGUUUGAGUUUUAUGGUUUAUGUUUAGAGUUUUUGUUAGCUUAAUGUGCAUAUUCCACUGUUUUCUCUUUAUGUUUAGAGUUUAGAGGUUAGGGUAUACAUUUUUAGGUUUUGGGGUUAAGAUGUUUGUUUGAUACUUAUUUAUGACUUUUUACCAAACCAUAAAUUCUUUCAUGAAAUAGGUUUUAAUAUGUUCUUAUAUGACUAAACACAAAUAAGUAAUUAUAAAUAAAAUAGAUUAAACAUAAAUGAUACUGCAAUUGAUCAUCCACUUUUCAUCGAACAUAUGUGCACCUUCGUAUGGAUAGUGUAUAAUAUAAUAAUACAUCGAAAAUAUAGAAAUAUGCAUCUUGAAAUGUCAAGAAAAAAGACAAUCACAACAUAUUGUAUAAAAAUAAUUAGAUAAUUUUUUAUUAUAACAACUUAAAAUGACAACAAUAAAAAAGUGAGAGAGAAGGAGAGAGAGAAAGCUUGGAAAAACCGAUUAAAAAAACAAACAAACUCAGCUUCUCUAUGUUUCAUUACCUAUUACUUUAGGGUCAAAAAUGUCUAAAAUUAUUGUCAAUAAUAUGAGAGUUAGACAGAAAGUACACCUAUAUCUGAAAGUAUAUUUUUUGGCAAACUUAUGUACACAAAGUAGGUGUAGGUGUAAAUAACUUUAUAAAAAUUGACCGACACAAAACAUAUUGUUUGAAGCGUACUGUGUAGUUGUGGUUUUACCCAUCUGGCCCUAUAGAAUAGCAUGCAUCGAGCAAUAAUAUGUCUAUGUAGAUCAUGUGUCACAGAGUUGUAAGAUUUCUUUAGAUUUCUUCGCCAUAAUUAUUUCGAAAUGAUUUUUUUAUAACUCUGGUAUGUUACGGAAAGCUGAAACAACGCAUAUACUGGUAAAGAGUAGCUGCAUAACCAUCCGACAUCAUAUACCACCACUCCUUGCAACCCUAAUUUUCCGCCUCUCCUUCACAAAACAUCUCAGUUUCUCACAUCGGCAAUUUGUCAUUAAUCACAUGAAAGGCAUGAUUUGUAUUGUUAGCGCACUAAUCAUGUUAUCGGAUGUGUUUUUAGAGAUAGAGAAGAUGGAGCUUCCAAAUCGGCUCAUUGCAUUUGGCGAGGAACCUCUUGGGGAGAGGGUCAAUGUAUACCACAAAGUAAAAACACUGGUCCGCAUAAAUGAAGCUCUCGAAGAGGAUGAAUUACAAAAAGUUAGGGCGUCUUCGCUGAGGAAGUUGUUUGACUUCCGUAUACAGCCAAACUGGUUUGCCACCAUUGUUCAGUUUCUUUUGGGUAAGUAGCUUGAUGUGGCCAAAUCCAACGAGAUCUGGGUUGUGUUUGCUAGGACGCCAAUUCGGUUUUUGCUGAGAGAGUUUGAACUAGUAACGGGGUUAUCGUGUGGUAGAUACCCGAGAAACCAGUAAAAGAGGACUGGGUAAUCAACAUUUUAAUGAAGAAGGUAGUGACAGAUUAAGAUUUGUGGCUUAGAUACGCCUAUCUUGCUCUUGUGGAUGGCUUUCUCCUUCCUACUUCCCAUUACCCAAAAUUUUCAAAGAAUCAUGCUGAGAUGUCCAAGAAUCUUGAAUCCUUUUUAUCUUAUACGUGGGGGAGGGUCUCGUUUGAGAUGACCAUGACAUCUAUUUAAGAGAGAGAUGUUGAACAGCUCGUAACAACGUCGGUGGCUGUUCAAGGUCUAUUUUACGCUCUCCAGCUAGUUGUUCUCCAGGCCGUCCCGACAAUUCAGGAGGGUCCUGUGCUAGACGAUAUUGUUUAUUCCGGUUCCAAAGAAGAAGAUUCCCCUCGCAGGCAGGUUUUUCACCUAAAGUCGGGGAACGCCAAGGAAGUUGAUUCGAAAUGCGAGGUAAGCUUAAUAAUCAAUUACUAGUUAGGCGAUAAAAUUAUCGGAUACAUUACCGUGUAGCAAGCAUAUUAUAAAUUAUUUGAUAUAUAAACUAUCAACUAAUUCCGUUAUCGAUGUAGGCCCAUGUGGAUCCCAUUAUUCUUUCGGAUGUUGAGUGGGAUAACAAAGUAGAAGAUUUGUCAUGGUCUGAUGAGGAAGAAGAUCCGCGAGUCAAAAAUAUGGUUUGGCUGGCGGAGGAAGGCUUUAAAUUCUCUAACUCUAUGCUCCAGGGCGGAUGCAUCCCUUAUGAGGUUGAAGUUGUUGAGAAAAAGCCCAGGAAGGGGUUAACAGUGAAAGCUACUCGCGGCAGGAAGGUGCCCAAUCAUGGUCGAAUUCCAACUGUUUCAACCUCUGUUCCUGGUUCAUCCAAUACAUCAACCUCAUCCACUCCUGGAUCCGUGGACAUAGAGACUUUAACUCUCCUUUUAAAUGCUAAGCUUGCGGGUCAUGAGGCAAGAAUUAUUGAUGGGAUGAUUUUGUGGUUCUAAAAAAACAUAGUUAUCUCUUCUGAAGAUAUUAUUGUUGAAGAGGAUUUGGUAUAAGAGCCGUCAGGGGAUGUUAAUGGUGACUUGUAAGAUAAUAACCUGGGCGGUUGCCAAAAAAAGACAAACUCUAAUGAAUUGGCCGCGGCAAAUGUUGGGGGUUCCACCUCAUAUGUGCGGCCAGAAAUAGCAGAACAUACCCAGGCGGAGGACACCCAGUUUGGAGCCCACGAUCUUAGGGGGACCACUCUCACCACUAUUGAAGAAGUCACUGCCUUCUACUACCCAGGGAGUCUAGGGAGAGUGGGGGGGGAGGGGGCGCUGAAUCUAAUUUUGAUUUGGAUAACCAUGUUAGCAGCAUAGCUCUUUUACAUUAUAACUGUGUUAGCAGAAAACGCUUUUGUUCAAAUACUAUCUAAAUUGAACAUAUUUAAUCAUUAUUUUGUCUUUCUAGGUGAGCGAUGGAGGCUAUGGCGAUGGAGACUAGGCCACCGCGCGUAACACAUCUUCUUCCUAAAGAGAUCUCGGUUGCUGGAUUGUCCAAUUUAGAGGUCGACCUGUAGUGGUUUAAAAACAUAUUACUUGCUAAAACACUUAGUUGUUAAAAUAUUAAUAAUUUUAACAUGUUGGCAAUGUUGAGAAAUAUCUAUCCCGAAUGUUUGGAUGUUUAAUUUCUGGGUGUUUAAUAUGGGUUUGUCUUUUUAACGACACGGGGUUGCAUAAUGUAGGAUGGGGAAGCUAUAUCCGAAAUCGGUGUGGAAUGUUAACUCAACAGUUAUCGACUAACGACCUUGCUAUGUUGUGACUGAGUAUUAAAUGUUUUAGUGACUAACUUACUGAUCAUCCUUUUUGCUUUGUUUUUGAAAACACAUACUUUGGACCCCAUUGGAACCAGCUAUAUAACGCCACAUAAGGUAACAUCCAAGCCCCUGGUGUAUUUAACCGCUUGUAAAUUUCGAAGACAUCAUAUAUUGGCUCCCUAUGUUUCAUCUGCAGAAACUUACAGGUGCCUUUGGAUGUUUAAUGCAUGAUUCAGUUGUCGGGCAAUCAGAUGUUGUUUCUUCGUCUACAGUGGCAAGCUCAGCGGGCGAAGGUGCUUUUCUCGCUGAUGUUGGUGGUGGUGCGGCUAUUCAUGUUGGUAGGAGAAGCAAAAGGGCCAGAACGUUUUCCACAAAGCUUGACUAUUGCUACCAUUAUGACAAGAAGACAAAGUUUCUUGUUGGUCAUCCGUCCCCCACCCUUAGCAGUUCCAAAACUCCAUGAAAAAACUUAUGAACUCAAGGUAAGGUGAUAACAGAUUUAAUGACGUAUACAUGGUGUUAUCCAAUUAUUUUUAUGUCAGCAAUUUCAAUUUAUAUGACACAUGUAAGUUAUUUUUCUCAGGUAGUUCUGGGACAAUAAGCCUAGGCGAUGAAUUUACAAUAUCCAGCGAACACGUCCUUGAAAUCAUUGAAAGGAAGAAACCUAUUGGUAACAAGGUACCAGUUUAUUUUUAGUAAUAUAAAUUGUGUUUUACUUUGAUAACAAUACUAAUUGAUAUAUAUAUAUAUAUUGUUAACAGCUUAUGUAUGCGCUGAUUAAGUUAAGUUUGCAAAUUCAGCAAAGUUCAUAUUCCCCCAGCCGCUUGUGGACGCAAUUGUUGGUAGCUCAGAUGUCGAAUGUGUCCAGCCGUUCGUUGAUGCUGAAUAUCUGGGCAUUCCAUUCAAUUCCGACAAGAAGCAUUGGGUUGCUUUCUGUGUUGAUCUAAAUGCCCAGAAAAUUGUGGUCCUCGACCCCAAUUUCAAUAUACAAAGCGAUGCCCAAGCCAAAACUGCCAUACAACCUGUAGCAUUGAUGCUCCCCUUCCUAUUCAAACAAGUUGCAGCUAAUACUGACACGACUAGAUCCAUUCCUGCUCGAAAUGAAGUAGAGAGCCCUCUCGGCAUCUCCCAGGUGAGAUCCCAAUUUGAUGAUGGGUUAAUGAUGGUAUUUUUUAUCCAUGCUCACGCUUCUAGGGGCAUGCUCGAGGUCAGGUAGUUUGACGUUGCUAGCCUUGACACUGUGCCCAGAAAGCUCGUAUCCACACUUAUUAUUUAUGGGAUUGAGUAGUAUGCUUAUUGUUGUAGACUGUUCUGGUAGUGUCGAAGAUGUAUUCCUGGCUCCACAAACAUAUCCCCAUCUUGCUAUUUGAUAUUAAUUGUUAACGGUUUUGGUUGUAGCUCACUGCUCAAAUAUUUGGAAGCGUAAUUUUAUUUUGUGGAUUGGCAAUCGGAUUACGUGUUGUAUGUGUUACUUACUAAUCACAUUUCGCACUAGAAUUAUAAUUAACUAACAAUUAACUGACCCAAAUUUCACUGAAUAUGCUUCAAAAUAGCAGUUAUAAGUCGAGAGUUUACAAAUAUAGUACCACAAUAUAUUCAAAGUUAUUAGAUGUUAUAUAAAAUAACUUGUUAUGAAAAGGUUUACCGGUAUCGGCCCCUGGCAUGUUGCUCGGUUGUAACCUAGAGUUUUGCAGCGUGUGCAACGUCUCCGCGAAGUUCGCUAUAAGUGUGUAGAAAAAAUUGCGAUGGUGUUAGAGAUAAUAAGACAUUUACCAAGUAAUAAUAAUGAUAGGAGAUAACCUUGAACUCGCCCCUUAAGAAAAUAUGUAAUUUUCUUGGUCGGCCAGGUUGUCUGCGAAUUUAUGGUGGAGCCUGUAAAAACGUGAUGCGUGCUAGAUCUACAGGCUUGUAUGACAGAUAAGUAUGGCUUAACAUGGAGGUGGAGGUCGAGUACAUAGUCAAGUAUGGCUCCAUUCGAUGGUGUUGAUCGAGUAGCAGUUCGAGUGAGAUGUUCAUUGGCUCCAGUCUUCGAUCUGGAUGUUUUUUUUUUUGGGCAAACUAAUUUGAUUAAAACUUUAAAAAAAUUACACUCCAUCGAAGGAGGAACUGAAAAUAACCACCACAAGGGCUAGCAUAGAUAAGCAUUAAGCUGCAACAAAAGCAGUAAAGAUAGUAGCAAACGAGUUACAUAACAAAGCUAUAACAUGGAGGUUCCCUUUUAGCUUUGUAGUAGUUUUCUUUGGGUUGAUGAGUGAAAGUAAGGCUUGAGAUUCCGACAACACCGUUAGAGAGGCAAAAUCCAGCUGACCGGUUGCCAAUAUGAGGGCAUUACGCAGUGCCAGUGCUUUCGCUACAAGGGCUGAGGCAACAAAAACUCUCUUCACAGAGAAAGGGUCCAUAUUGAGACAGACAGAACCUGGAAGUGUCCAUCCCAAACCUUAGAAACAAGAAGCGACAAACCAGUCUACAUCCUCAUGGCUAAUGUGAUGUGAUGAGCUUUGAGUGAAAUCUGCAGUUGGGAAUUUAAAGAGAUCGAGACAACAAAGAGGAGGAAAUAGAGCCUCCGGAGUAGUUAACGCCAAACUGCCAGUAAAACCUGAACAAAAACAAUCGUGAACAACAAUUUCCGCUUCUGCAUUAAGCAUAUCAGUUUUACAAGCAAUGCUCCAUCAAACACUACCACCAAACACAAGUGAAGUAGUUAGGAGGAUAAUAAGCUCCGUAAAGGAAGAGGAAAUCAACAACUGGAUAAGAAGUUUUGUAACGAACAAGCAGAUCUGAAGGUCCAGUGGAUCUGGUGGUUUCGGUGGAGUCGGCGGAGACGGAGGCUCUGGCGGUGGAGCACGAGGAGGCCUCAGAGCAAGGAAAACAACCGAAGACAUUGGUAAGUGGCAAGCAUGGGUCCAAAUUGACUGAAAAAAGGAAGACAUCAAGUGUGGAAAACUCCCCGGAAAACGGUUAUCUCACCAGAAACGAGAUCCACCAAGGAGAGGUUAGCAGCAAUCACCGAUCAGGAGAGGAGCUUGCCGGAGAAGCACCAUUGGAGGAAGAAUCUCAUCGUUCGAGUCAGUCUAUAAAGAACUUGUCAUGCACUCGAUCGAGUGUUCGUUGCCUUGGUCGAGUAGAGCAGUCGAGCACUUCUUCUUUUCUUCUUAAUGUUUCUAAUCCUCGUAUUUAACCCCAUAAGUGAAACCAGCUUCUUCCUUGAUCUUUAGAAGUCAUAAAAUACCUGACAACACUCCAAAUGCAAGAAUGUAUGCAAGACACAUGCAAAAUCUUUCUAAGUAUGCAAAACAUGCAAAAGAGACUCUAAAUGAUGCGAAUCAACAAGUGAACGAAGUUAACUAGAAAAUAAAUAUAUCCUUAAAAGUGAUAAAAUAUAGAGAUAUCACCUGGUUAUCUGUCUCGAACCUCAUAUUGCCUAUCGCCCAGUUUGUACACACCAAAUUCAGCUCCUUUCUCGUAGUUCUAUAUUACCAUUUUGUGAACCUUGGGUGGCAAAAUGUUUUCUUCCAGCUGGGCUGCUUCUCUCCGCAGUGCAAACUAUGUAACCAAUGUUGUACGUAUCGUCUUUUAGAUAGAAAUUCCUAGGUAGUCGCGUGCCGUACAUUAUUCAACGAUUCCGCAAUAUUGCUUGUUAACAUUGAACCGUUCACCCAUAAAGUGGGACCUUUUCCAAUGUUCAAACCCAAUCCCUGUUAGGUAAUCCGCACAAGAUGGACUCAUUUCCCUAACCUCAAGACUAAACAGCUUAGCGGCUCUGAUUUGAAGAAUCCGAUGAUUUUUUGUUUGAGAUGGACGAUGCAUGAUGCAUGGGACGACAUGGGGUAUACCUAUGUAAUACAAUGUCAGUUAGAUAUGCUAUACUGAUAAAAUAGUUACACUAUACAAUUGUGUAUAACACCUUUUACCACUUACAUAUUUGUUUCUUGUUAAAGCAAAUGUUACCUUACGGCAGAAACGUUAUCUGGUUAAGAAGUAAAUAAGUAUCCAGGACAUAUAUGUUAUAGGACUAAAAAAGAAUAUUCACCACACGCUAAUAAACUUUUUAGUAUGCUAUGAUGUUAACUUUCAUUGUCGCUUAUAAUCAAGUUCAUUUGAAUUGCAUAUUAUCAACUAACUUAUUUAUCCCGAUAACUAAUUUACACUUCUAGGCUAUACCGGUAACUUGGGUACACUAAACGUUUAAGAAUUUUGACGGUAAAGAAAAUGUUACCUAAUCAUAUAAGCCUUCUCCGUUUAAGAAUUAAAUAAGUUUUCCAAUACAAAUAUGCUAUAGGUCUAAAAAAGAAUAUCCAUAUUAUGCUAACAUGUCUAUACGAUAACCAAUAUAUUAGACAACAAUUGUGAUAACUUUCAUUAUCGCUUUUAUCACGUUUUAUUGGGUAUGUAUAUUAUCAUCUAACACACUUCGCUUUUAAUAUAAUUAUUAAGUGUACCUUUCAAAUACUUGCAUAGAUCAAGGAAUGCAUGUCUAAUACAAACACCAAUUUUGGUUCGUCGAGGACAACCGCCGUCAGUUUCUCAAGGAACCAUGUCCAAGCUGCAUCAUUUUCAUCGUUUACAAUCCCAAAAGAAAGGGGGAAAAUCUGGAAAUUUGCGUCCUGAGUUCCAUCUAUCACAACCAUCUUCCUCAUGUCUACGUACCCAUUAAUCAUUGCAGCCAGCGAGAAGAAUAGAUACUUAAAGCGGUCGACGCCGGUGCUAUCCUUCUAUGCCUCAAGUGUUACUAGUGAUCCUGGAUUUGUUUCCAAGGGAAAUUUUAAAUAAGGCUGGAUUAAGGCGUAACUCCCCAUGGCUAUCCCCAUUGCAUUGUCCAUAACUAUUUCUCUUGCUCACCAAGCUUUCCAAUUAGAAACAUUUAGGCUGAACUCUUGGCGAAGUAUCUUUCGCAGCCAUUCGGUCUUGGUCCUCAUCCCUCGUUCGCACCAGCUUGCCAAUCACAGCUGUGGAUGCCUACUUGUGGAAAUCUCCCCGAGCAUCUACGCUACACGUAUGCUGGAGCGUGGUGCUUCUGAUUUUGAAAUGGUCGCUAUCUUCCAUUUUAGUUGCAUACACGCGCCAUGGGCAAGUAUGGCUGACGCAAACAGCCAAAACCAUGGUUGGUCCAGAUUUGUUCAAAAACAAAGAGGACUGCACAAUGAAAAAUGGUGAUUCACGCCAUCAGGCGUAAAUUCCACUUCAUCAACGCUACCAACAAAGAGGUCGUCUCCCUCGUAGUCAACAUCCUUCAUAGCCCUAUUCAAGAAAUCUGCAAUUCAUGUAAAGUGGAAAAUUGAUGAAUUAGGUCGCAGACAGACAUUCAACUUUUCUAUUAUGUUUUUAUUCUGUAACUUUAUUAUCGGUAAUGAAUAAUUACCCUAUCAUGCUUAAGAUAGCAGAUAUAAUAAUUAUCAUAUAAUAUAGUUAUAUAUAUGUUUAAGACAUAAUGCUCGAGAUAGUUAAUUAUUGUUACUUGGGUUAGCAGGCAAUGUUAAUGUUACUAGUUAACAAGUUUAUCAGAUAAUAUUAUUAAUAAUAUGCUUUAAACGCGAAAACGGCUAAUUCCCCUGUGAACUAAGUUACUUUAUCGUGUACAUACACCAAACUUUUGAGUGUGCUUAUAACCACAUGAACUAAUGUAUAAUUUGAAUUUACUACAUAAACUAUAUAAAUGUGGCGAAAACCAACAAAACUAUAAACGCCGUUAAUUAAACCGUUAGUGUAGUUGGAGCUGACUAUGAUGCCACGUAGAUAGACUAAAACAACCGUGUUUUACGAAGAUGAGACUAAAACCGUAAAACGGCGUCGUUUCAUUUAACCUUUUCAAAAAACUAACCAGGACUUGAUUAUGCUUAGGAGUUAGGAAACAAAACUCAUUUUUUCUUAUAAAUGGUUCGUGGAUUCUAAGUGAAAGAACAUGGUUUAGUUUGUUCUGUAACUUCUGUUAACGAGGAGGGAGAAGAAGAAGAAUAGGUGGGUAUAUAAUAAUCUAUGUUUGGAUAUACGUCAUAAAUUCUUGUAGCAGACCUGGCUUUUUGUUGGGUUUAAUUAUGCAGAGGUAGAGGGAUCGAGUCUUUAGAUAAUUUAAUUUUAAAAAUUUUAACUUUACUAAAACGACGUCGUUUUCGGGUUUGGAUUCGUUUUUGUAAAACACAGUCGUUUUGUCUAUCUAUGUGGCAGACCAGUCAGCUAUACUAACAGUUUAAUUAAAGAUGUUUUUUAAUUUGUUGGUUUUGACCACAUUUAUAUAGUUUAUGUAGUAAAUUCAAAUUAUAAUUUAGUUCAUGUAGUUAUAAGCAUACUCGAAUGUUCUAUGUAGAUACCCGAUAAAAUAACUUAGUUUAUGGGGAAAUCGGCCGUUUUCCCUACUUAAAACUUUCUUCGCCAGGUUCAUCAAAGUAUAUGGCGGCGCACCGCGGUCAUAUAGCACUGUCGGCACUGGAGCGUCCCUGAUUUCUAACAUCUGCUCAGCGCAAACCCGCAAUCCUGAACCCUUUUCCAUAACUGUGGGGUUUCGCAGACCCCCCCCCCCGAUGUUGGUGUAUGGUUGAAGCUCUUGCCCCCCCCCCCUUGUGUGUCCCCCAUGGUGUCGACCUCGGCUACGAGAAGAGGGGCGACUACUUUGGUUCCUAAAUGGCAAAUGAUUUUGGUUAGUCGGUAACAUCAUCACACCGAUUAUAAAUAAUAGGUGGGAAUAACAAUUUAGUUGCUUGCUAAAAGGUAACUUAUCAUCAUUAAAUUUGUUUCAUCCAUACUUACCCUUAUCAUCCAUCUCACGCAAGUCCCGCGGUGUGAAUAUCAGUCCAUCUGCGUCGGUAAAAUAGUGAGACAUAAUGUCAUUUCCUACAAGAACGUAUUUUAAAGUUUUAAGAAUGCCAUGAAUAAUUAACAUAUCGCACUGACGUAUAAUCUAAAUAACAUUAAACUUACCAUUCAAAUCGAUUAACUCUUCAGAGGUGAACGAAAUUGUUGUUGUCUGUGUAGGUGGUGUGUCAUUAUACAACCUUGUUGAUGAUAACGAAAAAACAAAGUGUUGAUUGGUUGUCACCGCAAUUGGUACUGGUAGGCCUAAACGAAGACCUACGUCGACUGCACCUGCUGCAUGACACUCCUCCCCAAACUCGAGCUGUUUAGUACACCCAUUCCUCAAGCCGACGCGACCCGAUUCACAUCCUCCGUCUUGUGUUGGUGAGGGGAGAUUUCCCUCAAAAUGACAGCUGUGUAGUUUUUUGUGUCAUUCUUUGAAGUCGGCAUCUAACUCCUUCGACAGUUGUUGUUUUCCUUGCUCGGCAGCCGUAGGUCCGCUCGCUGCUAAGUUUUAAUCAACUUUUGCCUUCCCCUUGUCUACAGCUGAUAACCUAGCUCUCGGUGACGAUCUUGAAACUGCUUCUAUUAUUUUUUUUCAUCACCUUAGUAGAUGUUUGAUGCCUUACUUGGGUUUGAGACAUUACAUCUUCAACUGUCUCACGGAUCUCGAGGUGCCAUGUUAACAUUUUUAUUAACGUCGUAUUCCAGAUAGACUGUGUUUCCGCGGUAUUCCAAUAAUGAUCCGAUAUCUCCUUCGGUCAUUGGUCCUAUGUCAAGAUUACUUUGGUAGGAGUUAACAUAUUUCGAGGUUCCCGACUUGAUGACCCUAACCCCCGCCGAUGGACCUCUUCCAGAUCUGCCUUUAUGACCAUGAACAAAGCCAUAUCUUCAUCAUCCAGGAUGUCUAUCGGGUAUUCUCGUUUCCACUCAGGCCCCAUCAUCCAUUGUGGCCAUUAGUAAGUCAGCUCGAUAUCAUUGUCAUCUCUUAGACCCAUACGCUCAUGUACCACGGUAAUAACCGUAGCGAAAUUAUCAGUCUCUCAAAACCGCACAGCUAAAGUGAAGUCAUCCAUGAAUGUAACAUGCUCGUAGUUCCCAUCGGCAUCCUUUUUCCAUUCUCCCCUAACCAAACGAACGAUCAUAGUCAUAAUUCUUCCUGCAACAUGAUAUUCGUUAAAAUGAAAGUUAGCAGACAUCAAAAACAUUAUCAAAAAAACUAUUACGACGAGCACAUGACGAGCUUUGGUGCUUUUAUGUGAGAUUCCGUCAUUCAUACCUACCUGAGUAUUGCAGAUGCUUCUUCUAGGUAUUCCUUACUGAAAAUGCUCUCCUUCUUUAACUGUUUUGUGUCUUGUUGUAGAGCAACAAGUUAAGUAGCGUGUAUAAUCAUUAGAUUUCUGCUGCACUUUAGAUGUGUGUGUUAGGCGGUGCAAAAUUGGCAGACAUUUAAUGCUCUAGUUGCCCCGACAAACAGCACAGGCGAGGUGUAGGGCUUUUAUUGUAAUAUUGACAGCUACAAUUUAUAGUUGAAUUAAUUUAUUUAUCUGCAUGGCUACAGAGUUAAUUAUCUUCUCUACAAUGUAUUUACGUUUAUAUCGUACUAUUAUUAUUAUUUACGUAUGAUAUAUUAAUACAUAUCAUGAUAUAUAUUGAUAUUUCAAUAUAUAUCAUAAUAAUCAAACACUACAAGAAAACAAGGGUAUAACCGACAGAAUUAUCAACAGCAUUAAAUCCGUCGGUAAUUAUGAACGGAAAACCGAUCAAUUUUUUACGGAAACGUAUUUGUUCGUAUCCGUCAGUUUUCCGUCGGUAAUUUACCGGCGGAUCGAAAACCGUCGGUAAAAUUUUAAACUUUUUGACGGAUUACCAACGGAUAUUGGCCGUCACUAAUAAUCUGUCACUAAUCCGUCAAUAAAUAUGCAUGUUUUAAUUUCAUCAGUAAUCCGUCAGUAAUUUCUGUGGGAUUACCGACGAGUUCUUAAUUUUUCAUCGAUUUAGAGAAAAUGAAAAAAAAUCCGUCGGUAAUCUGUUAGAAAUUACCGACGGAUUACCAACGGAUUACCGAUGGUUUAUUGUAUAAACUGUAAUUUUAAAUCGUAAUAGCAAUUUUUAGAUAAAAAAUAGCUAAGGUAUUAUGUUUUAAUGAUUAAUAAGCUAAAUGGUAUAUUAAAAACCCCAAAAAUGUGUGAUCGGAAAAAAAUAAGGGUGUUUCACCAAAACUACUUAUAAUGGUUUAUUAUAUAUUUUGAACUAGUAUUUGUUAAUUUGUUUCUCAAAAUAUGUUUUCUCAUAAAUUGUAACAAUAAUAUGUGUUUUAACACUACACACUCUUUUUAAUGUAAAAUAGGGAUCAUAUAUACAUUAUUCCAUUAGAAAUCAUAAAAAAUAGGGUUUAUACCCUAAACAUACCCUAAACAUACUCUAUGCUGUCGGUAAUCCGUUGGAAAUUACCGACGGAUUACUGACGGACUUUGAUAUUUAUUCGUAAAUAAUAAACGCUGAAAUUUAAGUAAUAAUAUUUUGAGAUCCGUCGGUUAUCCGUCAGAAAUUACCGACGGACUCUGAAACUACUUAUGGUGUAAGUUCUCCACUUUCACUUCUAAUUUUCUAAGUUUUGUAAGAUUUUUAGAAUGAGAAAUUAGAUUUGUUAGAAUAUGAUAUGGGUUAGUUUCUAUGUUAGAAAUGGUUAGGUUUUUGGAAUGGAAAUUGUUCAAUUUUGAUAAUUAAAAUUGUUAUAUAUUUAGAAUUGAAAUGGUUAGAUUUGUGUUAAAUCAUGUGUGAGAUUUGUAUUAGGUUAAUAUUUAUGUAAUUUAUUGUAUUAGGAUUUGUUGUUUGUGUUAGAUUAUAUAGUUUGUGUUUGAAAAUGGUUUUUAAUUUUGUUGGCUUGUUAGUUGAUUUUUUUAUUGUUAAGUAUGUAAAAUGAAUUUUGGUAGUUUAAUUUGAUUUAAUGAAUUUAAAAUUAUUAAUGAAAAUAAGCAUAAAUGAAUUUAAGAAAGAUUUAGCAUUUGUUUUAGGAACAAUGUUAAUUACGUUGAUUAUUCGUUAUUGAUUAGAAUUUUGUAAUUUACGGUUUUAAAAAACUUUCUUUGUUUUUUUUUUUGUUUUAAAUAAAUUCAGUAAUAUUCAGUGUUGCAUAUUAAUGAAAUUUUAACAAAUAAUUGUAAUACUAAUUUUAGAAAAUUCUCAAUUAUUUUAAUUUUUUAUUUUUUUUUAUAAAAAAAAAAUCAAAUCCGUCGGUAAUGACGGAGAUUUUACUGACGGAUUACCAACGGAAUACUAAAAUAGUUAUCUGUCAGUAAUCCAUGAGUGAAUUGCCCGUCGGAAAUCCGUCAAUAAUUACCGAUGAUUUACUGACGGAUAUUUUUUAACGACGCUCUAGAACUGACGGACAUAUCCGUCGGUAAUCCGUUGAUUAUAGUUGUUUCUGACGGAUUACAGACGGAUUUUCCCCUCGGUUCUAGGCUGUUUUCGUGUAGUGGUAUAUAUAUCAUGAUACAUAUAUAUAUAUAUAUAUAUAAGAUAGCAUAACAUAUAUAUGUUCAAAAAUCGUGAUAUAUACAAUAUAUAUUAUAAUUAUAUGUAUAUAUAUAUAUAUAUUAUAUGUCAGGAUUCAUAAAUAGACAUUAUGAUAUAUUGAUAUCUAACCGUAGUGGUGAUAAAAAGGAGAUAGGAGAAUCUUGGUGGUGGCAAGGGUGGAGAUUAUGGUGGAUGUGGAGGGCGAGUGAAGUAUUUUGGUGACAGUAUAUAAGUGACAGAGGAGAUGAUAGUGAUAUGUUGGAGGUAAAUUAGGAGGUGGUGAUGGAAAAGAUAAUACGUUGGUGAGGUAGAAUUAGAAUAAUGUGAAGAAGAAUGGAUGUGAGACAUAUAUGCUUAACUAUCACUAAUCGAUGAUAGCAUCGAGAUUUGGUGGUGUCCCAAAUAAUCUCUGACAUAUGUUUAGUGGUAGUAUGGCCGACACCGAUUCACCAAACCUAAAAAUUAUGUAAGGUUGAAUGAAUGGACGACGACUUUUACUAUAAAAAAAAUAUAUAUAAGGUUGAGUGAAUGCAUUUUGGUCAUAAAAAUUUGACUAAUUUUAUGAAUUCAAAAUUUAUAAUUUAAGUUGUAAUAAAUUUAAUAAAUUAGAAGGAUAGUUUGUGUUGGGGGCUGUUAUUAAGUAAAGAAGAAAAAAAUGAAAGGAAAAAAACGAUAGGGAGACAGAGAAAACGAAAGCAAAAGAAGAAAUAAAAAAAGUAUGGUCUUAAGAGUAACCAACACAGCUACAACCAAUAGGGAUAAUAUGGUCAAUUUUCGCGUGGUUCGUAUGUCCAUUUAUUUAUGAAAAUAGCUCCACUCGUUUGACUUAAUUAUUUUAAAGUCGUCUGGUAUAGGAAUGAGAAAAAAAAAUAUUUAGUAUAACAGUAGUAAAAAAUACAUUAAAAAUGACAAUUAUUUCCAUUCAUAUAUUAAAUAUGCAAAAAAAAAUUAUUUAAAGCUUUGGAAUGAAUUUUCUGUAUACGGUAAUUCUAAAAAAACCGAUAAACUGAUUAUUUUAAUAAAAUAGACAAAAUGAUUUUUUCAAUGAAAUAGAAAAAAAAAAUUUUAUUUUACUACAAAUAAUUAAUUCAUUAUUAUAAGAAAAAAUAAUUGAAUUUCUGUGAAAAUUUUGUUAUUGAAAAAUUUAAAAUGAAUUUUCUGUGUUUCGUGAUUCAUAAAAAUUAACAGAUCAGCUGAUUCCGUUAAUAAAACUAAUAAACAGAUUUAGUCUACCAAACAAAAGAUAAACAGAUUUUCUCGAUAAAAUAGAAAAACUAUUUAUUUUUUUACUAUAAAUAAAGACUUCGCGAUAACAAAAUUUUAGUAUGACUUAAAUUCAAUAAUACUAUAUUUGAAAAUAAGUGGAUUGUACUAUAUUUCAAUAAUUUUAAAUAAUACUAUAUUUUAAAUUCAAUAAAGGGAAUUUUAAAAAUACCCCCUUUCCAAUACCACUUUCUAAAAAUACCCCUCUUUCUAAUUUUAUUAAAAAGUCACUAUAAAAUUUGAAAGUUAUCGAAAAAUGUGUUAGCUUAUAUUUAUGUCAUAAUUAACUAGAUUGACACAAAUUUGGCAAAAAAUAACUGAAUUAACCCUCUAUCAUUGGUCAUUACUAGAAUGACACAAUAUUUAUGUAAAAAGUCCAAAAAACCUAAACCUUAAAAAUGGCAAGUAAUAGAAAAAGUCUGUCACACAAAUACUAAAUCUGUUGUAAUAAGAUCAACAAAUCUAUUAUAUAUUAAAAAGAAUAUAGAAAUAAAAAAUAUAUUUAAAAAUGCACAAUAUAGAAAUAAUAAAAAUAUAAGUUUUCUUUGUAUUUUUAUAAAUAUCUAAAAAUCUGAAUAAAAAGUUUGUUCUAAUAAUAAAUAAAAUAAAAAUUAUACCAAACCAUACUCAAACUCAAAUUAUACCAAACUAUACUCAAAGUUUGUCAAUUUCAGAGAAAAAGAAGAAAAAAAUUAUACCAAACUAUUAUCUUAUUGUUCUUUCAUAUGUUCAGUAGGCGUUCCCUUGGCUAAGAACUUUACCCUUAGUUGAGUUUCACUUUCUCCAUAAACAUAGUCAAUGGACUGUUUAGGAUACUAUUUGGUUGGUGCAUCUGGUAGGAACUCGUAUACUAUCUUUAUGUAGGUAAGUCUCUACUGUUUACUAGGUUUUGUGUAGUAACAAAAAUAUUUACAAUAUAUGGUCCAAUGAUUUUUGUAAUAGUUAAGUGUAGUGAUGAGUUGUGUUUAAAUUCACGGAUCUCCAACUUAAACGACAGACUUUUACAAAAACCGCUGGAUAUUUUGUAAAGGGUAAUGUUGACUUUUUUUACUAACAAAGCAAAAAGGGUAUUUUUGUAAUGAAAAGUACUCAUCUAACCCAAAUAUUUUAUAAGUUAGUCUAGUAAUUAAUCUCUUCAUUUGUGUCAAUCUAGUUUUUUUCCUAUAUUUAUAGAAAAAAAUUAUCUUUAUAUGUAUGUAAAUUUAUAUAUAUAUUUCAUAAAUACCUUAUAAAUACAUUUUAAAAGCCUUAUAAAAACUUUGUAACCUUUUUAAAAACCUUAUAAAAACCUUAUAAAUGCUGUUUAGAACCUUUUAAAACCUUAUAAAUAUUUGGAUUUAGUUUUCCAGUAGUAUUAAUGAUCUUGAUGUACCUUAUCAGCCAUAUAAAAGUUUAUAAAUUUUCAUAUUUGGAAAAGAGUAUUUUUGAAAAUGGAUAGAAAAGAGGGGUGUUUCUGAAAUGGAUUAUUAUCUAUAAUGCCAGUUUUUGAUCCAAUAUAAUCGAACAUGCUAGUUUCUUAUUGGGUUUCUAAUGAGUGCCACAUACAAUAAAAAGCAUGUGGCUGAAUGGACAAAUAUACCCUCAGUCAAAAGGAGAGGAUUUUGCACAAUUUUCAAAAAAUGAAGAAGAUGGGACAUUUUUUUUGCGUCAGCUACAGGGGCAUUAAUUGGUGACAAGUUAAGCUAUUACCCAAAGGACAAUUCAUUUAGAUUGGGUUUAGAAAGCAAAUUCGUCUAUUGUCCACUGAUGUCAUCCAUUGAUGUUGUCCAUUGCUGUUGUCUAUUGCGAUUUUCAAAAAAAUGAAGGAGAUGGGACAUUUUUUUGCGGCUACAUGGGCAUUAAUUGGUGAAAAGGUUUGCUAUAUACGUAUGAUGGACAACAAAUUAGGAAACAAAAAAUGAUUUAUUACAGACAUCAGAUUUCGUCCACCGGAUCUAGUCCACUGGAUCUAGUCUACCGAAUUUAGUCCACCAGAUCUAGUGGAUCUAUACACAAAUGUGAGAUCCAAAGUGUAAACCUUGAUGGAUCAUAAUGAUAUCUUCCAUAGAUGCACUACUUGUUUCAUACUCUGGUCAUUCACUUGUGGUUUCAAGAGAUUUGUAUGAUGGACAAGUUUGGUCCAUCGGUUUUAGUUCACCAGAUCUGGUUCAUUGAAAGACAAAAACAAAAUAUGGGUGGAAAAUUUAUUUGGUCACCAACGUGAACCACAUACCUACCUAGAGUGAAAGCAUCGUUGUUUAUUGUUGUAGUCAAAACAGUUUCUUCCUCCAAGCCUUUGGUCAUCCAUUAGAUAUUGUCAUUGGUGAGAGAUAUUGAGGGAAAAAUAAAUUGUUGACAUGAACGAAAUGUUUGGAGAGAGAAAGAAUGUUUGUUUGGAGAGAGAGAGCUGGAGGUAUAAGAAGAAAGAGAAACCAAAAUUUGAACAUUUAUUUUAUUGAUCUUUUAUGUGUGAAUUGAAUAAGGGUAUAAUAGUCUUUUACGAAGAAGGUUGUGGCAGGCGGGGGAAGAGAUUUGGGAAACUGGCAUUAGCCAAAAAGAUGAACACAGUUCAUGGCAAUGCUCAUAAUUUUCUCUUUUUAAAAAGGGGUAGACCAAAAGGGGCAUUUCUAAAAAAUUAUCUUUAAAAUUUAAAAUUUAUAUUUAUGUUAAUUAUUCUUAAACAACAUAAAAUUAUAUGUAAAACGAUAAAAAUAAAAUGUAAGACUAACGGUUACGAUUUUCUCUCCAGCGAUUUUUCAAGCGAUCAACACAACUUCUCUAUUUUCACCGUUUCCGGCCGGCGUCGGCUGUUGUCAUCAAUUUUAUUCUAUUUUUACUUCUUUUACUUUCUACAAGUUCUAGGUGAGAGAUCAACACCGGUAAAUGUUUUCAAUUGUUUCAUUGUCUUUAUGUUCUUUCGUGAGAGUCUCCUCUCUACCAUAAUCCAGCGAAGGUUUCAGAACAGUACCGUCAUCUCCCCAACCGGAUUCCUUUAGGGGAUAACUGAAAAAUUAAGUUUAUUUAAAAUAAGAAUAAUGGUGAACAGGUCGCAAAUUUUUUGGUGAUCGCCAAUUUAACAUUACUAACUUUUAUAGCAAGUUUUUGAUAAGUGUCUGUUUUCGCAAAAAAAAAAUUGUUAACUAAAUUUUUCUAGAAAAGCUUUAGAUAUCAUUUUCUUAUGAUAAAUAUUUUUUUUUAUUUUUUUUUUAAAUAUAGACAGGCCCCCAAAACUAGUUCUCUAUAAUAUUUAAAUUAUAUACAUAUUUCUUUAUCUGUAAUAAUAAAUUGUGUUACAACUUACAAGUAGGUUCACAAAUAAAAAUAUUUGUUACACGAAUUUAGCCACACACGUGUUAUACAUAUAAACAAAACUAAAAGGGUAGACGUAUGGGGGGUUAUUGGAUUAUUGAUUUUGAUGGAUUUGAAAAUCCAAACAAAAAUCAUGUGUUAUUCAAUCAUUGAUUUUAAAAUAACUAUCAAAAUCCUAUGUUAUUGGUUGUAUGAUUUAUAAAUACUAGUUAAAAUUCUAUGUUAUUCGUUUAAUGAUCUGUUUUUAGAUUUUAAAAUCUGCAGUAUGUUUUAAAUGGAUUUGAAAGGAAUUGAUAGUGUAAAAUAGAAGGAUUCAAAAUCCAAGCAUAAAACAUGUUAUUUCAAAAUCCAUGUAUUUUUAUUUUAUAAAUAAUAAGAAUUCACAAAUACUAUGUGGAUUUACAAAUCAAUAAACCAAUAACGAAUAGAACCAAAAGAAAGAUGGAGACGGUUUUAGUGUCCACACAUGAUACAUGUCCCAUCCAAUACUUUUGUAAAUAUUUCCAAAACAGUGCAUCCAAAAGCCCAAGUGUUACAAGCUUAAUCAACAACCGAUUGUAUAAACUCCAGGACAUGUAUCGCGUUGUGCCUAUCGUAUGACCUGAUCCGUUUCCAUACUUGCUUGACCCUUCCUCGAGUGCUAAACAAUAAUCCGCAAUCUCUGCCUCAUACUCGCUAGGUCUUAUCCGCUUCUCGAUAGGGGCUAGUAAGAUAUUAUCCAGUUUAAGGUCACAGUGACUAAUCUUUUGCCUAAUGGAUGUAGUCAAAACCUUUGAGGAUAUCUUUAGAGAACACUUCAAAGUCUCCCAAAAUCACUUUUAUGGUUUUUCAAAAAACAAAAGUUAUGUUUUGACUAACAGUGGAUUUGAUAUGAUUUUUACAAAUUGUUGAUUGAAUAACAGGGCUUGUGAGUAACUUUGAAGGAUUUUUUUAUGAAUGUCAUAUUCAAUAACACUGGAUUUGAGAUGCGAUUUAAAAAUGCAUAGUUGAAUAACAGAGAAUUUUGAAAAAGAACCAAAAUCCUCUAAAAUUCUAUUUUCAAUACACCCCCCUAAAUUUAUUUGAAACCAAAAAUAUUAUUAUUCUCUUUUCAUGAACUUUGAUUAUAUUAUGCUAUUUUAUUUACGUAACAUUUUACAUAUAUUUUUAAUAUAAAAAGUAAAUUACCAAAAAAGUAAGCAAAAAUUAAAGAAAAUAUAAGUACAAUAUUUUAUGUAUGUGUUUUUAUAAUAAAUAAACAGACCUUCAUAUGUCAUAUCGUCUGUUUUUAUUGUUAAGUUAGCAUUUUGUUAGUUCAUUUAAAAGGUUUUUUAUAUCUUCCUUUCAAACAUUUAAUACAUUACAUAAUACUCUGUUUUUUUGGACAAAUACAUAAUACUCUGUUAUGUAAAUAAAAUACUAAGAAGUAUGAAAAUAGAUUUAUAUUUAAUAAUGUAAAAGUUUUUUCUUUACUUUUUUCCGAAAAAGAAUAAUUGUUUUCUAUGUUUCUAAAAUAAAUCCUUUGUGAGUUUUUUAACUAUUAACUUAUUGAAACUAGUAGACUAUAUAUAGGUUUUGAUAUGAGGUAUUUGAAAAGAUCCGACCCAUUUUUUUUUUUAAUGAACACAUUUAACAGUGUUUAUGAUUACAUUAGUGUUGUUGAUACUUUUAAAGACACGUUAGGAGGAAAAUAUGAAAAAGGGAAAGUUUGUGUGCUUUAAAAAAAAGUUGAAAAUAGUGUAAAUAUUUUUCUGGCAACAAAAAGAUCGUUUUCUGAUAAAUAUCAAAACAUAAUAAAAAAUUAUUAUAACUUUUAUUGAUAGUAUAAAAAUUAUAAUUAAAAAUGUAUAAUGACACUCUUUAUGAAACAAGAAUAAAAUUUUAAAAUGAAAUUUUUUGUAAAACAGAGGGAGUAUAGACCGUUCCUAAAAGUUGAUUUUUCUAGAAAGGCCCUGUUCGUUUGGUCAUCUAGACGCAGUUGCCAGACGCAGUUAUAAGUUUUUGUUCGUUUUGUUCAAACUAAAAAACGCGUCUAGAUGCAAUAUCUAGAUGCAAAAUAAAACUCAUCCAAAAAAAUUGGAUAUUUUGGAUGAGUUUAAAAGAUGAGUUUGGACGCACCAAAGUGCGUCUCAAAUUACAGAAGUCUAAAAUACCCUCAUCAACUAUAACCUUAAUUACUUUUUAUCUACUAUUUUUUUUUUUUGUAAAAUUCUUAAAUAUAUUAUUUUUAAUAAAAAUAAAAAAACAUUUUUUUACAAAAACCGCAAAAUCUCGAUUUUCCGCCAAACCAGCAAAAUCUCGUUUUCCCGCCAAAACCGUAAAAUCUCGUUUUCCCGCCAAAACAGUAAAAUCUCGUUUUCCCACCAAACCCGUAAAAUCUCGAUUUCCCGCCAAAACCCGCAAAAUCUUGUUUUCCGGCCAAAAUCCACAAAAUCUCGUUUUCCCGCUAAAACCUGAUUUUCCGCCAAAACCGCAAACUUUUAUUUUCUCGCCAAACCGAAAAAACAUCUGAAAGUUCAAAAAUAUUUUUUAUUGUGCAUUUUAAAAUUUUUAAAAAUUUAAUAUGAUAAUUAUAUAGUUAUAAACAUAAUUAAAAUUAUGAAAACAUGUGUAACACAAAACAAAGGGCAUUUUGGUCAUUUCGUAUGUAUUGUAUCUAGAUACAAAUACCAAAAUACAAAACGAACAUAACUACGUCUAAAUACAAUUUCUGGACACAUGAUUCAAAAACUGAAACAAACAUCAUUUGGAUAUUACGUUCAGAUACCGCGUUCAGAUACGAUAUCUUGAUAACUCAUCUAGUUUACCAAACGAACAUGCACAAAAUAAAAUUCGUUUCUAAAAGAUAGUUAUUUUAAGUUAUCAAUGUAUAAUGGUAAGAUCCGACUGUGGUAAUAGGGUUUUGGUCCAAAUUUGUUUGCUUUGGUUGAAUAAUUGGAGCCGCCGAAGGAGAAGCAAAGUAGUGCCUUUUGCAAAUGCUCCUGGACGGGACUCGCUGUUGUCGUUAGUCAAACCAAGAUCCAACCUUAUCGCCGGAAAAUUUUCUGAUUUGCUUUCCCUUUGUAAACCGUUGAGCUUUGAAGCCAUCUUGUAUUUGCCCAUUGGGGUUUAAUAAAUAAAAACUCUGAAAAAAAAUUCCGAUUUAAAAAUUUGAAAGUAAAUAACUAAAUAAUAUUGGUUUAGAAUUCUAAGAAAAUGUGAAUCACAAAGAUGAUGCAGUUAUCAUUAAUUUUUAGAUGUUUUUUUAAUAUGUGUGAAAAACUUAGAAAAAAUAUCUCUUAGGAAAAGAAAGAGUAAUAAAUAUGUAAUUAAAAAAUUACUAAAAAAAUUGACAGUCAACCAAAUCCUCAACAUUUAAGGAAAAGUUAAAAGUACUCAUCCAUUAUAAAGGAUUGCAAUUAAGUGAUUUAUCUCUUUAAAUAAUUUAAGCAGCUUUUCUGCUGUCAAAGUUUCCAUCAAAGAAUAAUUCAAUUUUGGCUCAAAAUCUUCAUAUUGUCCCCAAGAGAACUUAUCAAACAUAAAAAUAAAUAACAAUAAUAAUAAAAAAACUCAAAAAAACUCAACAAUUAUCACUUCUCAUCCACAUACAUAACUGAUGAUGUCAUAAACCAAAAGAAACAAAAGAUCCAUAUAACUUUCACCCAAAGCUUGACGUGGAUAGAGUCCAAGACCCCCUCAACCAAGUAAACAAACAUCUCGUGACUUGUGAGAGUUCCAACAUAAGAUUUUCUACCUGAUUUUUUUCCAAAUUUCGAAUUCUCUAAAAUCUUUUUUGAAAGUUUCUUAAGCUCUAAGAAUUAAUUAUGUUACACGUAGGUUCACAAAUAAAAAUAUUGUUACUCGAAUUUAGCCAUGUACACUUAUAUAUAUAAUACAUAAAAAUAAAAAUAAAGGUAACGUGUAAACAUAGAAUAGAGAAAAAAAAAAUGGAGAUAUGGUUACUCAUCUUGGCCUCUCUCUCCAUAUCUCUUCUUAUCAAUCUCCUCCUUCGCCGCCGUGACUCCUCCUCUCUUCCAUUACCACCUGACCCUAACUUCUUCCCUUUUCUUGGAACCCUCCGAUGGGUUCGACAAGGCUUAGGUGGUCUCAACAUCUAUCUCCGCUCCGUCCACAACCGUCUAGGUCCGAUCAUCACUCUCCGUAUCACUUCCCGUCCCGCCAUCUUCGUCGCCGAUCGUUCUCUCGCUCAUGAGGCUCUUAUUUUAAACGGCGCCGUUUUCGCAGACCGUCCACCGGCUGCUCCGGUCAGUAAGAUUGUUUCUAGUAACCAACAUAACAUCAGUUCUUGUCGGUAUGGAGCCACGUGGCGGCUUCUUCGUAGGAACCUCACUUCUGAGAUUCUUCACCCGUCGCGCGUGGGAUGUUAUUCUCACGCGCGGAGUUGGGUUCUUGAGAUCUUGUUUGAUCGGUUUCGUAAGAACAGAGGUGAAGAGCCUGUCGUUGUUGUUGAUCAUCUUCACUAUGCUAUGUUUGCUCUUCUUGUUCUUAUGUGUUUUGGAGAUAAGCUUGAUGAGAAGCAAAUCAAAGAAGUGGAGUAUGUUCAGAGAAGACAGCUUCUUGGCUUUAGUAGAUUCAACGUUCUUAACAUCUGGCCUAAGUUAACUAAACUGAUUUGUCGAAAGAGAUGGGAAGAGUUUUUUCAGAUGAGGAAAGAACAGCAUGAAGUUUUGCUUCCGUUGAUUCGUGCUCGGAGAAAGAUUGUUGAAGAGAGGAAGAAGAGAUCAUUAGAAGAAGACAAGAAAGAGUAUGUACAAUCAUAUGUUGAUACUUUGCUCGAUGUGGAGCUUCCUGAUGAGAAGAGGAAGUUAAACGAAGACGAGAUUGUGAGUUUGUGCUCUGAGUUUCUCAACGCAGGGACUGAUACAACAGCCACGGCGUUGCAAUGGAUCAUGGCCAACCUAGUGAAGAACCCUGAUAUCCAGAAGAGAUUACACGAGGAGAUCACAAGUGUAGUUGGGGAAGAAGCAAAGGAAGUGGAGGAAGAAGACGCUCAGAAGAUGCCUUAUCUCAAGGCGGUGGUGCUGGAGGGUCUCCGGAGGCAUCCUCCAGGACAUUUUGUGUUGCCUCACAGUGUCACGGAAGACACUGUAUUGGGAGGGUACAAGGUACCAAAGAAGGGGACGAUUAACUUCAUGGUGGCAGAGAUAGGUAGGGAUCCAAAGGUGUGGGAGGAACCAAUGGAGUUCAAGCCAGAGAGGUUUAUUGGGGAAGAAGAAUCAGUGGACAUAACUGGAAGCAGAGGGAUAAAGAUGAUGCCGUUUGGAGCUGGAAGGAGGAUAUGUCCAGGGAUUGGGCUAGCAAUGUUACAUCUUGAGUAUUAUGUAGCCAAUAUGGUGAGGGAGUUUGAGUGGAAAGAAGUCCAAGGUCAUGAGGUUGACUUGACCGAGAAGCUUGAGUUUACUGUUGUCAUGAAACAUCCUCUUAAGGCUCUUGCUGUGCCUAGGAGAAGUUACUAGUCUUCUACUUGGCUUUGUUGGUUUAGUAGUAUAGUAUACAACAAAGACUAGGUUAUAUUUGAUGUUAUGUGCAUUUUGUUGGUGAAGUGUACAAUGGAACCAAAUCUUUAACAAAGUACAUUUUGUACGUUGGAAUAAAUGAUAUGAACAAACGAUGCUUUUAUAUUCCUCUUUGUAUGCCUAGUGUUUUUGUGUCAGGUGGGGCUAGAAAAGUAGGAUUUCUAGUGUUUAAUGUUGUAUCAUAUCAUUCGUAUGUGACUUUUUGAUGAUGGGCGUACUUUUGUUGAGAAAUUAGAUCCAUUGUGUAUCCAUCUUCUGCAAACAUACUAGUAUGGUAUGUGCCAAAGAAAUAACAUAUAGCAUCCACAACAAAAAAAAACAUAGAGACAUGAUCUAGUUUUAGCUAUUAUGAUGCUAGUUUCUGUUUCAUGUUUUAUUUCCACCUGGGCAUUUCCAUGGGAUACCUGUAUGUGUCAUGUCAUGUCAUCUCAGGGCUAAGCUUAUUGUAUUUGAUCUUCUCUGUAACUUCUGUAAUAUUAUUUUAGAGAAAGAACUAACACUAAGAAUGCACAUAUGAAGGUCUCCAGGUACGUUAACAUAACUUGUUCUUGUUAGCAGCUCAGAGUCCUUAGAGAAAGAACUAAGAGCAUCUCCAUUCGUGUAACCCUCAGAAAAAUGUUUAACAUUAAUUAAUUAAUAAAUAUUGAUUGAAUGGGCAACGUGAUUGAAUGGGAGAGUGAAGAGGCAACGUGAGAGAAAGAGAAAGAGAGAGGAAAAAAGAAUGAUAAUUUUUUCUUUUCUACAAAAUAUAUUUUUCACCCAAUCAAGAAAUGCCAGCUGUGUUAAGCAUCGAUCCUUGGAGAGCUUGGUUAAGCAGCGCCCCUUGCAGAAUCCACCAUUAUUGAUUUAUUUUUUGGCUGUUUAAUGUUAAUAAUUUCAUGAAGCACCUCCCGUUGGAGGUGGUCUAACACUAAGAAGCUGCAGAAAUGAAUUACUAAAGGAAUUCUGAUAAAAGACAAAUGGAACAGGAGUUUAGGAUUUUGGAGUAAAGAGAAUAAAUGUGUGAAUUGUUUUUGCUAUAGAGAGGAUAUAAGAAUGUAAAUGUUGGGUGUCUCAUUAUAGAAGCUUGGAACAUAAGUAGCAAUACUGGUCUUUUGUUAACUCUCUCUACCACAAGUAUCUUCUCUAUAUUAGUUUUACACUCUCAUAUAUCACAAAACUGGUCUUCCCUUCUCUGAUAACCUACACAGCUGAAAAACAAGAUAUGCAAAAGAUAAUUCACAUCUAAAAGGUUUGAAAAAGAAACCAACAAUGGGAAGAACGUAGUUUUAACAAAGGCUCGUGACGGGUCGGGUCGGAUAAUUUGGGUUAGGUAAUUUUCGUUGUUUGGAUAGUUUGGAAUUUGAGAAAUGUUAUCGAUAAUAACCAAAAUAUUUAACGGUUUGGUUUGGCUAUCGGGUUUUUCGGUUAUUUUUCUUUGUUACUGAAAUUAAAUGAAUAGUUUAGAUUUUUAAUUAAUUUGGUUAAUUAGUAAAUGAGGUCAAUUAUUUCGGUUAAGUUGGGUAAAUUCAGUUAAUUCGAUUUAUUUGGUUUGGUAAGAUCGGUUAAUUUUGGGUAAAACAGAUGAGUUGGUUAUAUCAGUUCGGUUAGUUUGUCUAAUUUCAUGUAAUUUGCUUAAAUUCUGGUAACCAUCGGUACCGAUCCAAACCAAACUGAUAACCGUUCAUUUCUCUCUCUCACUCGAAACCGUACCAAAAAUCAAAAUCUUGGUUCGGUCCGCUAUUUUUGGUUCGGGUAAUAAUCCCAUGGCUAAUUUUAAGUUCUCUAGAAAUGAAAAUCAAAUGGAUUUUUGUUUUAUUUAGGGUCAAAACUGAAGUAUUUUUUUACUUAGAGUUAAAAAAAUGUUUUUUGUGCAAACUGUUCCUUUUCUAAUCAAGAACUAAUUUACAGCUUCCGCCGCUCUGGCUCGCUUGUUUGUCGUCGUCCGGUAGGGAUGUUAAAAACAGGUAAAAACCCAUCGGAUACCAUAAACUCGUAUUUUUAAUAGGGUGUUCGAACCCGUUUUUUAGUUAUAAAAAAUAUGGGUUUUUAAUGGGGGAAAAUGUCAUAAAAAUCUCAAACUUUCAAUUUUGGAACAAUUUAGGGGGGUGUAUUGAACUGCAUAUUUUAGGAGAUUUGGUGGGAUUUUAAUAUUUUAGAAUUUUGAGAUAUUUGAGUGUGGUUUGAAAAGAUUUGGGUUAUUUGUUAGAGAUUUGGUGAGAUUUGGUUAUUGAAUUUUAAGUGACUUUAGGAUAUUUAUGGAUAAUCUCAUCAUAUGAUUAUGGUGAUUAUUAAUCAAUUCUUCCUUCUUUUCUGAUUUCAGUGGUUAUGCAAUGCCGAUAAGUCAUGUCAUGAACCUCGUUUACUGAAUUCAAUAUGAAAUUGUGUCCACAAAACUGAUCUUUUGAUCUCUCAAUUUCUUCAAGGAUUUCUUUGUGUCACGACAACUAUAACAUUUGAAAACGUCAACCAAGAAAUUAACCCAUCAAUACAACUCCAUUAAUUAAAACCCUAAAAUUGACAAGCUUUAAUCCUGAGUUUGUGAAAACUAACACAAGGCACGAAAACCCAAAUGCUUUCAUUAACGAGAAUUGAAGAAGAAGACGCAAAUACUUUCAUUAACCCAAAUACUUUGCUCAGCCAUUUUUUUCCACCAUUUUUUUCGGUCAGUUAUAUUUGAGAGUGAGAGAGAAAGAGAUAAAGCAUAGAAGAGAGAUGAUUUAUGAUUACAUUUUUUAAAUCUUUCAAAGUUUCACCUAUAAAGGUGUGAUUUGUCAGGCAUAUAUUUUAACUAAAAAUGUUAGAAAAGUCUCCUAGAAUCACAUUCAGUAGUUUUUAAAAGAAACUUUGUGAUAUUUUGAAUAACAGUGUACUUGAAAUGAAAUUUAUAAUGAUUGAUUGAAUAACAAGAGAUUGUGAAUGAUUUCAAAUGAUUUUUUUAUAAAUUACAUAUUCAAUAACAUAGGAUUUUAGAAGAUUUUUUAAAAUGACCAAUUGAAUAACAUGGGAUUUUAAGAAUACUUUCAAAUCUCCUAAAAUAGGCAGUUCAAUACACCCCCCUUAAUCCUGAACUUCCAAGAAGUCAUUUUAAUCACAAAGUUUAUAUUGACAUUUCAGUAAAAUAGGUAAUUUUCAUUGACUUCGCAGAUUUAAACACGAGGUUCGAUCUCACUUAAAAUUGUGAAGACGGGUUUAACUAUCUGUGAGUUGCUUCCGUUAGCCUAAAUGACCACAUUUUUAAACCGAAAACUACGUUGUUUAACAAAUUGAAGAAACUAAAUCUCCAAAUCGAUUCAUAAUUCACGAAUCUAAAUCUCUAACUCUAGAAAAAUCCACAAUUUAUCUCUACCUCUUGUUAAAUGGUUGCCCGUGGAUGAAGAAAGCGACUACUAACGUCGUUUUGUCGUUUAAAAUCAUGGUCGUUUAGGCUAAACAAAAGUAGUUAUUAGAUAAUUAACCCAUCUUCAAGUUUUUAGCAGAGAUUAAACAUCGUACCUAAAUCAGUAAAGUCAACAAAACGUAGUUAUUUUGCAGAUAAUUCAACACAAAUUUUAUUAUUAAAAUGAUUUUUAAAGUUCGGGAUUAAAUAUUCCCCAUAUUUACAUUUUUCCGUUUUUAAUGGACAGGUAUCCGAAAUAUUAGAGUCGUAAAUAGGUCUACCCAAGUAAGUUUAUGGGGUUUUUUUUCAACACAUCAAUUGAAACGACACCUUCAAGCAAAAAAACAAAACGAAACCUUCUCGUUCUUUCUUCUUCCCCUCGAUUCCACUGAGUUCUUCGUCCGCCAUUGUCCGGUAUUGCUGCUUCGUCUUCAGUUGUCUUCAAUUUCAGUUGUUUGCAUAUGAGUCUUCUUUCUCCGCCAUUGCUGGCCACGGAUUGAGCUUUAUCUCAAAGUGGGUUUUACGGAUUUUGGUGAGUCUUGUUCUAAAAUUCGAUUUUGGAUUAUGAGAAUUCGAUUUUGGAUUGAAGCUCUUUCAUUGUUGCAUUUCGUUGAUGGCUUUUGAAUCUUAGCUACUGAGUGAGCAGUGCCCAUUUGUGUUUGGUUGGGAUAAACAAUUCGUCGUGUGUGUUAGAUGAUCUUAAGAUUGGUCUUGAUUAUUUAUUAUUGAUAUGACAAGUCUACAGGUGUAUGAAUCUUCCUUUUUGUGUACUAACUAAUGUUUCUUUGUGUCUACUGAAUCUUCCUUUAUGAAAUUCUUCUUCUUUUGUUGUUUUUGCUUAUGAAUCACUUAUGAAUUUUCCUCUCUACUUCUCUCUGCAACUAUUUACUAAAGUCGUUGGGAUCAAAAGAUGCUAGCUUUGCAUGUGUAGAUGUAGAAUUACAAUUAGACUCUUGUCUUUUUCGUUUUGUUUAGGGUUUAAUAUCAUUUAAAGACUCUUGAUUUUGAUGUUUUGGUUUGUAACAGGACAGUGCAGCGAUUGUUAUAGAGCAACCGAAGAGAUCUGAGGCAACCCUUUUCUCCUCUGGUUAGUUCUUGUAAAACCCUUUUCUCUUCUGGUUUGUGUUGUCUGGCUUGUGUUGAUGGCUUUUGAAUCUUAGCUUAGGUUCCCUAUAAAGACAUGUAGAAAAAAAGUCUGAUUCUAAUUCAUUUUCGGCAUUAGAAUUAGCUACUAAUGAUUUUUAUCUUUGUUGGAGAUUAGAUAAGUACUGUAGCAGAACAAAUGAUUUUUAUCUUCUGUGAGUAUGUGUCUGAUCAUUAAGCAGUAGAAUUUGCGUGAAGAAUCUCUGAGAACAUUGCUGGAUUUAGCUAGGUGGUUCUUAGUAUGAUGAAUUUAGGAACAUAAUUGUUCUGUUGCUGCGUUGCCUUGAUAAAAGAUUAGUCUAGUUAGUGCUUACUUGUUCCCAUUAGUCUACUUGUGGACACAAUUACAUAGAUUCAGCUAUUAGUUAUGUGUAUACCUUUGUUAUGGCAUGUUAUAGAGAAAUACCUUUGUUACAGUUACAGUUACAGUUACUAGAAAUACCUUUGUUACAGUUAUGUGUAUACCUUUGUUAUGGCAUGUUAUAGAGAAAUACCUUUGUUACAGAGAAAUACCUCGUCACUUCCACAUGGUUGUUGGGUUUGUUCUGUUUUUGUCGAAACCUGGUUUAACCUUGAGGCUAUAUUGUCAUUGAGGAUUUGAUUUGUGUUUUUGGAUUUAUAAACUCUCUUUGACAAGGAUUUGAUUAGUGUUUAGUAACAAGAAUGUGUCACUGUUUCAGCACUUGCAUUUCUCUGUGUUCUCGUCUUUCCUCCACACCACAUGUUCGAUGAAAUUACUCAACGAUGUCAAAACCUCACUUGUUUCUAAAAUCUUGCAGGGUACGGGUAAAGUAAUUGAUUUUGGGCUUAAUUCUGAUUUGGGUUCUUACGUGUAGUCCUCUCACAAGUCAGCAUGCUUCUGGUUUCGCCUGCUUGUAGAGGUGUUAACCUUCAGACCGUAGAUCCAAAGCUAAUUAAUAUUUCCGCCAAAGGAUCUUAUGGAAGUUGCUUUCAGGUUUCCAUUUCAUCUCCUUUAACUUUCAUCUUGAUGAUUCCAAUCCUGAGGUUUUAAAGUUUCAUUAUUUUUUUUUUUAAUUUAUAUAUGCAGAUUCCUCGGUCAAUCCUUAAAAGAGAGUGUGGGAUUAGGUUAGGAACCGUUGUUUGUUUCAAUCAGAAGCCUAUACAGCACACAAGUUUCAAGAAAAGGCAUGUAUCUACGCAGAAUGUGGAUCUUCCUCCUAUUUUACCAAAGAACAAGAAAAAACCGUAUCCUGUUCCUUUUAAGCAAAUUCAGGAAGAAGCUAGGAAAGAUAAGAAACUUGCUCAGAUGGGCAUAGAGAAACAGUUAGAUCCGCCCAAAAAUGGAUUGCUAGUUCCCAAUCUUGUUCCUGUAGCUUCUCAAGUAAUAGAUAAUUGGAAACUGUUGAUCAAGGGUUUAGCACAGCUUCUCCAUGUUGUUCCUGUCUUUGCUUGCAGUGAAUGUGGGGCGGUUCAUGUGGCUAAUUCUGGUCACAAUAUUAAGGAUUGCAAUGGUCCAACAAAUUCACAGCGGCGUGGUUCUCAUUCAUGGGUCAAGGGUACCAUCAAUGAUGUUCUCAUUCCUGUUGAGUCGUACCACAUGUAUGACCCUUUUGGGCGACGCAUAAAGCAUGAAACUCGGUUUGACUAUGAUAGAAUCCCAGCACUUGUUGAGCUAUGUAUUCAGGCUGGAGUUGAUAUCCCAGAGUAUCCUUGUCGUAGAAGGACACAGCCAAUCCGAAUGAUGGGGAAGAGAGUGAUCGAUCAUGGUGGAUAUGUUAGAGAACCUGAUAAGCCUCAGACAUCAUCAUUAUCCUCUCCACUAGCCGAGCUUGACACACUUGGUGCUUGUGAAAGGUAUCCACCUCCCACACCAGAAGACAUACCUAAGAUAGCACAGGAAACAAUGGAUGCUUAUGAAAAAGUAAGAUUAGGGGUGACAAAAUUGAUGAGGAAAUUCACAGUGAAAGCAUGUGGAUAUUGUUCUGAAGUGCAUGUAGGACCGUGGGGACAUAGCGUGAAGCUGUGCGGAGAGUUCAAACACCAAUGGAGAGAUGGGAAGCAUGGAUGGCAAGAUGCUCUUGUGGACGAAGUCUUUCCUCCAAACUAUGUAUGGCAUGUGAGAGACCUUAAGGGAAAUCCCCUUACCGGAAAUCUCAGGAGGUUUUAUGGUAAAGCCCCUGCUGUGGUUGAGAUUUGUAUGCACAGUGGAGCACGGGUUCCUCAACGCUACAAGGCAAUGAUGAGGCUUGACAUCAUCGUUCCUGAUUUACAGGAAGCUGACAUGGUCGCAUAGGUUCUUGGUCAUGUUCAUUGUAGAAGCUGGCCUUUAUUUUAUAAUGAUAGUCAACUUGACAUAUUAUGUUGUUUAACAGAUUCGACUCGCGAUAAUGAUUGGACAUGUCCGAAUUGUGGUAAUGUAAACUUCUCAUUCAGAUUUGUAUGUAACAUGACGAAGUGCAACACUCUAAAGCCUGGUUCCCAGGUUUGUGCUGUUUCUUUUUGUUUCAGUUUGACUGUUUCACAUAGGCUACAUAUACAUUGUUAUGAAUUCUAGAGCUUGCUUGGUUUAUUCGACCAUCAAAAAAGUGAAAAACAGCUUGCUUAAUCAUUAUAGAUAGCUUACUUGGAUAGAUCUUGGGAUUAUUUUCUUAAGCUCUGACAUUUAACGUCUUAUAAUUGCAGCAGAUUGGGAACUGAGAUAAAAUAUCUAGUUAGCCCCUGAAAAUUCCUAAAUGCUGCAGCUUACUUGAUGAUCUUUGAGACUGACAUAAGGAUAUGUGUUGUUGUUUACCAGAAAAAAAUGCACCGGAAGGGAGUCAGAAGUGUGAUAAUCGGGGAAAUGUAAACUAUCCAUUAAGGAGCAAAUGCAACAGGCAGAACUAUGGAGCUGAUAAACCAGGGGACCAGUCAAAUGAAUCUCCUUCCCAUUCACCAGACGAGAACGAUCAGGUUUGUCUAAUAAACUGUUUACCUCUGAAACUCGUAUAUGUAACAACUGGUGUUGUUUUUAUGCCUUGUGAAAGCAACAGUUAUUUGUUUAUGAAAUACUUGACCCUGAUUGCGUUAAAAAUGUUUAAACCCAAUUUAGAGUUGGGUGUCUCUGAACGGUGUGUUUCAAUUUGUGGUCUGUUCCAGUGAGCCGUAGACAUGUUUGGGGGUUGAGAAGGGUGAGUCUGAUCCAGCGGGUGUCAUAAUGUCAGUCAAUGUCGCGUCAGGUCGUCCAUGUUGAAGCCGUCUCGUCAAAUUGCUUCAAUGCAUUUGUCUCUUUACAUACUCUUGGGUGGCUAUGUUGUAUUAACAAUGCAUAAAUUGUUUAAUCUACUAUGUGGUCGUCGUGUGGAUCUUGUCUUCCUAUAGAAUUGUCCUUCAGGUCGUCUCGUCCAUACUGUUUACAUCCUAAUCUUAGUUGGCCUUGGAUAGCUCAUAAUUAACUGUACUAUAUAUCAACGUUUAAGGUGUAUUCUCGUCAUUUCUUGUGUCUAGCAAGCAUUUUCUUUCGUAAGUUAUUUUUGUUCUUGUAUUGAUACUGUAAGUAAACUUAACAUAUAUAUGGGAAGCUUUUGGUCAUAUUAUAGUCUUGUUCCAUUAUAUGAUUUCUUACAAAACCACAUCACAAACACAAUUAUUUACAUCAACAAAAAGCAGAAAGCUCAAAUUUCUGUCAAGUAUAGCAGUUUGUGAUGCAGGUUUCAGCUACGGCAAAAGAACACUGUGAUAGUGUCGUAUCAGAAUCAAAAAUAGCAAAAAGUGCUACUGUUUUAUGUAUUCUAAUCGACAUGAGAAGGAACAAUUGAAGGGAAGAAAAGAAAACCUUCAUUUUUUUCCAUGGAGAAUGUAGGGUUUAAGAUUCGUCUAUGACGAACCCAAUCAAGACCAUUCACGAAGAGAAGUCUAUUACCAGCAAGUUUAAGGACCUCUGGUUUUGUUUUUGAUUUAGCAAAACAACAAAAGUUGUUCGACUCUGAACAUAGGAAAAAAAGAGAGACAAAGUUAGAUUAAUUCUAAGUAAGCAAGUACUCAAGAAGAGGCUUUGAGCACUUACUUAUCAGUAGUUGUAAUCCAAUCAAUAUGACAUUUUUGAGUAUGCGCAUUGCAUUUUGUAUGUGAAGGUUCGCUGAUACAAAACUUGUACUUUAGUAAUGCUUUGAAGACCUAACCAAACAGAAGUCAGAUUUUUGGUUUUUCUUUUCUUUACCUUCUGAUCGCAGACCAACAUACGUACGUAGACUAUUUAGGAAGCCAUAAUCGCGAAAGAUAAAACUCCUCUGUUCUUCAACCUUAAAAACAACGCAUCAGAAUUUAAAGUAGAGAUAAAUCAUGGUGUUAUCAAUUAUCAUCAAGCAAAAUCCGUGAAAUAAUAGCUUUAAAAUGCAAGGACAUAACUAUCAUAACAAUUAGGUUUGUAAAUAUAACAUGGUCGAAUUGAAGUGUGACGAUUGAAUUAAACCGAAACGGAAUUAAAAAAGAAACAGUAGGACAAACCAAACUACACAUUGCUUUUCCUCUGUUUUUGAGACAUAUGAAUCUUUUUAUUAUACUAACCACAGUUGUGUUCCAACCCCAGCAUGAUCUCAUGCACCUAACAAAUAAGAAAACUCAAAAGAUGUUUAAAUUUUCAUAUCACCAGUGGCUUUGAACUCCUAAACAGCAAAUAAAUCAUGUAGCACAAUCGAAAGUUGUAAUCUCUUAAAACAAAAAAAAAAAGACGAAGAAAUUCAUAACAUAUAAAUACUAAAAUUUACGAAAACACUAAACAGAAAACACUUUACAAAUACUGAUUGUUUGAAACUCCAUUUUUUUGUGGUAAUAAUAAAGUAUGGUGUGAAGUGAAGAACUGAUGUGAAAUAAAUAAAGAUAUUUAGUGACAUGAAAUUAAAGUAUGAAGUGAAGUAUUGAUGUAAAAUAAAGUUUUGGUUUGACAUGUUUGAUGUGAAGGUGUAACAACCCGCCCGGUGAGACCCCCUGCUACAACCCGGCAACUUGAUGAGUGGUGUGUAUGCUAUGAUGUAAAAUAAAUGGUGUGAAUACUUGAUGAGUGGUGUGUGUAAAUAUGUGUGAAAGAAAGAUGCUAUGUAAUAUUCCUUGAGUCAUGUACUAUAAAUACCAAGCUUGGCGAGGGUUGUUCACCAUAAGCUGAAGUGUCUAAAAUCGUAAGAGUUCUUUAUAUCCUCUUGAUAGUGUUCUUGUAUAAUGAAAGCUUUCUCUUAUAUAAACUAUAUUCUCUUCCAUAAACACUUAAUCUCUUUCAUAUACCUGUUUCAUAUAUUUCGAUCCUAUAAACCUUAUAUGUGGUUGUACCUACUAUGUGUUUGUAAUUUUGGUAUCAGAGCGAUGGUAGUCUAAGCUUUCACUCUUUGAUAUCUAAGAGGUAGUAUGCCAUACUAUUGUUUUCUAUUAUAUAUGCUUUGCAUAGAGAGUAUGCUUUGUGGUUGCCAUUUUUAAUGGAUCCUCCACAUCAGAAAUCUUGUUAAGCUGGUAUAAAAGAAUUAAAGAAAUGAUCUGUGAGGUCAUAAUGCUUGAAGUACCUUGAGGCUUAUUUGAUGUGAGUUAUUUGCCUCAGUUUGCAUAGCUUGUACCUCAUGAUUAUUUUCUUUAUAUUCUUAGCACUUAAAAGUCCCAUGAAAACAGCUUAUGGAUUGUUACUACUUUGAAAAUUGAUGGAUUGUUACUACUUUGAAAAUUGAUGGAUUGUUACUACUUAUGGAUUGUUACUACUUUGAAGUACCUUGAGGCUCAUUUGAUGUGAAUUGUUUGCCUCAGUUUGCAUAGCUUGUACCUCAUGAUUAUUUUCUUUAUAGUCUUAGCUCUUAAAAGUCCCAUGAAAACAACUUAUGGAUUGUUACUACUUUGAAAAUUGAGAAGAAGUUUAUAGCAUUCUGUCUUGGUUUCUGGUUUCUAUAUACAUUAUGGAAAACAAACCAACUUUUGCCAAAACACCCUCUUUUCGAAAAUCAACCUCUAAAAAAGUAGAUUAUCUACAUGAAAUAGAAUACAUAAGUUAUGAGAGUAAAGUGCCUAUUACCCAAUUUCCUUUGCUUAAUCCUUACAAAGCCUUCUCAAAACCAAAUUCUACUUUCCCAAAAUUCAUUAGACAAGUGUUUGUGCCUAACAAACAUACUACAAAAGAACUUGUUCUGGCUUCUCUUCUAGAACAAUUUUUGGUCACUGCAACAAAAGCGGAGCAAAUGGUUCCUCUCUGUCUUAACGAAGGGAUGAUUCACCAUUGGCAAAACCUUGGCUACACACAUCUGCGUUAUGGAGCAAUACGCUAGCGUUAACUCUUCAUGGAAGAAAAGGCUUACCGGUAGUAACAAGAGUCGCUCUCCUCGAUACCAUAUAUAAAAAGAGUACCAAUAUGCUUGCAUCGCAACCAUUCAGAUGACAUUAAAUGCUGUCACUAUCUUUGAGACUCUUUUUCCAAACUUUAAAGUGGCACUAGAAGAUCCAAAAAUUUGUCGAAACAUGCAGAUCAAACUUCAGAUUACUGGCGCUGCACAAAUUGGAAACAUGUAUGCAGCGACACCGCAUCAUCAAAUGACAUAUAGAGUCCAAAAUCAUGCAAUGGAUUUUAAGUCUCCCUCGAGACACUGAAGAUGCCUUACUCAUUAAACUUGAGUCACAACAUAUUCUGUCAUACAUCCACAUUCCAAGGCAAAUCCCAAGAAGCGAAUUAGUCAAGCUACUUCCGGAAUCAUGGGUAACUAAUUAUGAAAAAAUCCAUGAAAGAAGUACACCAAUACAAUCAAUGGAUUCCUCUAUCCAUAGAAGAAAAUAUGGAGCUGUAGGAAUUGCAUUCAAGGCACAAGAAGGAAAGUCAAGACCGGCGGCCUUUUGCACUGAGAUCAACAUGAUCCCUCCUGCAUGCGAAAAACAAUUCAUGGAGAUAGAUUCACGUCUUCGUGGCGUUCCAAUCUCAUCUUUUAAUUUGCUUGGAAAUCCUGUCUACGCAUUCAUUGAUGACUCUGGCCAUAAAUUCUUUGAUAUUUGUGACUGUCAAAAAUGUCUAGAAGACGAUUCUGAUGAAGAUGAAAUUCCGAGGCGAAAAAGAGGAAAGAAAUUUUCACAACAAUUCCUCAAAGAAAGAUACGAAUCAGGAGAUCCUCAGGUCGGACUUCUUGGUGAACCAAGUAAUGGAAAAUUAGAAUACUAUGUUUUGUAUUCGAAUAGCUCGACCCCAGCAACCCCGGACAGGGAAAAACUACCAUUGACCUACAUGUUUGGCCCUCAUCCUAGUCACCAUUUUAAUCAAAAGAGUUUGAAGAAAACAGUAUGAAAUACUCGUGGAAGAUCAAGAAUCCAAAAAUAAAGAAGCCAUAUAGAAUAGUGAAGCAAGUCAGUGCGGCCGAAGCAACUUUGAAUUGGCAAUCAGAAAAUACAACAACCCAAAACAAUCGCUGGAGCCAAAUCGACAAAAAGGUAACCAUUCUGGAUCUCUCUAUAUAGGAGAUAACAAAAAACAUGUCCUCCCUCCAUCAAGAACUCCUCCAGUUGGCAACUACUGUAUCCAUAAACUCUCCUCUUAUGACCCAAAAAGAAUCCGAGCUAAAAACCCUUAAAGCCCAACUAAAGUCCUUACAAAACUAACCACAAACACAAGCCCAAAUGCAUUAUGAUCUUUUUGCACCGUACCUUAUAUAUACACCAUCCUACACAGCCCAAUCACAACCCCUAUCUUUUUCUCAUCCUUUUUACCAACACAUUUCACCUCAGAACAACCUAUCACUAAAAACAAAAAACAUACUGAAAAACCUACAUCGCCAAAAAUCCAUAACCAACCAUCCACAUCCAAAAAUCACCCAGAGGAGAGUCCAUCACAAUUGAUGGUGGAAUAAGCCAAUCUAAUCAUCACUUAUCUCCAAAAAGAAGCAAAACAAAAGGGAAGUUCCAAAAAGAAAGUAGUGAUAACAAAAAUGGAAGAACCACAAGAUGAUUCAGAAGAAGAAGUCUUCGUCCAAACUUUCAUGAUGGCGGAACCAACUGUUGAGAACGAGGACAUUGAGAGCGAUGAUGGACGUAUAUAGGAAGAGGAAUACGACGCUUUUAUGGGGCAUAUCCACAACAAAUUUCUUGGCACGUGGGAACAUUACACUCACCAAGCAGGAGAAGAAUACCUUAAUAUGAAGUGCUGCUCCUUCAAGACAAAAGAUUAGGAGAAGCAUUAUGAUCGAAUGUCAAAGCGAUUCUAUGCCCUGAAUGGAAUAGAUGACGUUAAUCUUAAACAGAAAUACUUGAAUUCCCUCCCAGAACCACUUGGGACUGAGACAUCAAGAAUCCUAUCAUUUAAGAACAUGCAUCUCAACCAAAUUGCGCUUGGAGAAAUCUACCAGCUUUCCCUCUCAACACUUGAAAGGCUAUGCAAUUCCCAUCAGUUCUUCAAACAACUCCAUGAACAGGGGAAGCUCCUCGGAAAAGCAUGUGACCGCCCAGAACUUUCCAUCAAAUGCAGAAAGAAGAAAUGCACCUGCUCUACAGGCUUCAGAACAGAGAAAAAGUUCAAAAGAAAAUGGCAUAAGAUAUAUCCACAAUAUUCAAUAAAGAAGAAGUGGAAGUUCCUUAGGAAGAAAACAAAAGAGGAGUCAAGAAAUCAGAUAGAUGCUACAUCUGCAAGAAAAAUGGGCACUAUACGAAACAAUGCGCAAACAAGAAAAGGAUAAAUAAUCUUCUUGGAUACGUGGCGCAAACUGAAGAAAUUGAUGACUCAGAUAUUGAAUCCAUCUUUUCCCUUGAAGAUGAACCAACAGACGAUACAGACCUUGCAAUGGGGAUAGAAUAACAAGAUGAAUAUUCAGAAUCUAAUAUUGAUGAUGAAGAAGACCCAGAUGACCAAUUGAUGUUGUUCGACUUAUACACAUUUGAUGCUUGCAGAGUGGAACAAUCGGAUCAUGGAGAACUGGCCUAUCUAUCUCAACCAUCACCAAAUGCAAAGAUUUACAUCCUUACCACCAAAUACGACAAGCCCAUACCUGCCAUUAAAUACUUUGACACCGGAGCCGCAUCCUCUAUCAAAAAACCAAAUAUCCUUCCAUAUUUACAUUGGAACACAUGCUCUGUCUCAUUUUAAGCAGCUAAUGGACAAACAUUCCACAUCUCCCUCAUCAGUAAUCCGAUCUACAUCCAACUCUUUCCAGGAUACAUGAUCAAAACAAAAGUAAAUAGGAAAUGACUUCAUCCUUGGAUUUGAUGUUCUUCAUGGCCUCCAAAGACUUUCAUGUCAUCCAAAAGGACUUAAGCACAAAAAUCAACUACUACCCUGGACGACAAUGUCUCAUCUUUGCCCUAUAGAGAUCUUAUGUCCCAUCAAAGAAGAGAUUGCUAACACCUCCUGUUUUGCCUCUCAUUCUGGGUUCCUCACAAAAUGCUCGACACUAUUAUGGAAGAAUCCAAAGUUCUUUAUACCUUCACCUUUCAAGAAAAACAAAGAUAUCAACCCUACCAAGGCUAGUCAUCCAGGAAUGAAUCCAUACCAUUACAACCUUGCUAUCGAAGAAGUUUAUUAGCUACAGAAAGAAGAUGUCAUUGAAAAGACCGAUCCACCAUGGGCAUGUGAAGCAUUUUAUGUCAACAAAAGAGCAGAACAAGUGCGUGGAAAGCUAGGACUAAAGACUUCUUAAUUACUAACAAUUUGUGAGGAUUUCUAAAGAGCUACUUAGGAGUUUUUUUUUUCAUAAUUUCAUAAUACAGAUUUAUAUGUGUGCAUCGCAUUUGGAAUUGAAUCGUGUACAUAUACAAUAACUAGACAUGUAUAAGUAUUAUUUACAAAAAAAUGAAGCGAUAUACUGGGGCUAAAUAAGACCGAUUUUGCCACACCAAAUAAAUAGCAAAUACAAAGCUAGAGUGAAAAAAAAGUUCUAAUUCUUAAUGAUCUACACCACAGUUUAUACUUGUAAUUAAUGCAAUUAUUUAUUUGCAGUAAUUAUAUCAGAAAAACCAUUAAAAAUGUUAAAAGUUUUCCAAAUAUGUGUAUAAGGUUAUAAAUAUAUACACAAAUUAUCUUUGUAUGUGUAUAAAACUUUAUAUAUCUUUCAUAAAUAGCGUAAAAAUAACUUAUAAAAACCUUUUAAAAUCCUUAUAAACUCUUUUAAAAACCUUAAAAAACCUUAUAAAACUUCUAAAAACGAUUUAAAACCAUUUUAAACAUUUUAAAAUAUUUGUAUCGAAUCUCCCAGUAGUUAUUAUAUAGAAGUACCUUAUAACCUAUAUAAAGAGAGAGAGAAAGAGAGAGAGAGAGAGAGAGAGAGAGAGAGAGAGAGAGAGAGAGAGAGAGAGAGAGAGAGAGAGAGAGAGAGAGAGAGAGAGAGAGAGAGAGAGAGAGAGNN
rnacentral:lncRNA from 1 species